rnacentral:lncRNA from 1 species
UGGGCAGGGCAUCUCUGAAAAAAAGGCAGCAGCCCCAGUCAGGGACUCAUAGACAAAACCCCCAUCUCCCUGGGACAAAGCACCUGGGGAAAGGGGAGGUGGGGGGCACAGCUUCAGCAGACUUAAACGUCCCUGGCUGAUGGCUCUGAAGAGAGCAGCAGAUGUCCCAGCACAGUGUUAGAGCUCUGCUAAGGGACAGAAUGCCUCCUCAAGUGGGUCCCUGAACGCCAUGUAAACUGACUGGGAGACAACUCCCAGUAGAGACUGACAGACACAUCAUACAGGAGAGCUCUGGCAUCUGGUGGGUGGCCCUCUGGGACAAAGCUUCCAGAGGAAGAAACAGGCAGCAAUCUUUGCUGUUCUGCAGCCUCCGCUGGUGAUACUCAGGCAAACAGGGUCUGGAGUGGACCUCCAGCAAACUCCAGCAGACCUGCAGCAGAAGGUCCUGACUAUUAGAAGGAAAACUAACGAACAGAAAGGAAUCAUAUCAACAUCAACAAAAAGGACGUCCACACCAAAACCCCAUCCGAACAUCACCAAUAUCAAAGACCAAAGGUAGAUAAAUCCAUGAGGAUGGGGAGAAACGAGCACAAAAAGGCUGAAAAUUCCAAAAACCAGAACACCUCUUCUCCAAAGGAUCACAACUCCUCGCCAGCAAGGGAACAAAAUUGAACAGAGAAGGAUUUUGACAAAUUGACAUAAGUGGACUUCAGAAGGUGGGUAAUAACAAAGUCCACCAAGCUAAAGGAGCAUGUUCUAACCCAACGCAAGGAAGCUAAGAACUUUGAAAAAAAGUCCUUGAGAAAAGCAACCCCAAGACACAUAAUCAUCAGAUUCACCAAGGUUGAAAUGAAGGAAAAAAUGUUAAGGGCAGCCACCUGAAGGAAGCACGAAACAUGGAAAGGAACAACCAGUACCAGCCACAGCAAAAACAUACCAAAUUGUAAAGACCAUCAACGCUAUGAGGAAACUGCAUCAACUAACAGGCAAAGUAACCAGCCAGCAUCAUAAUGACAGGAUCAAAUUCACAUAUAACAAUAUUAACCUUAAAUGUAAAAGGGCUAAAUGCCCUGAUUAAAAGACAAAGACUGGUAAAUUGGAUAAAGAGUCAAGACCCGUCAGUGUGCUAUAUUCAGGAAACCCAUCUCACGUGCAAAGACACACAUAGGCUCAAAAUAAAUGGAUGGAAGAAGAUUUAUCAAGCAAAUCGAAAGCGAACAAAAAAAAGCAGGGGUUGCAAUCCUAGUCUCUGAUAAAACAGACUUUAAACCAACAAAGAACAAAAGAGACAAAGAAAGGCAUUACAUAAUGGUAAAGGUAUCAAUGUAUCAAGAAGAGCUAUCUAUCCUAAAUAUAUAUGCACCCAAUACAGGAGCACCCAGAUUCAUAAAGAAAGUUCUUAGAGACCUACAAACAGACUUAGACUACCACAAAAUAAUAGUGGGUGACUUUAACACCCCACUGUCAAUGUUAGACAGAUCAACAAAACCGAAAAUUAACAAGGAUAUCCAGGACUUGAACUCAGCUCUGGACCAAGCGGACCUAAUAUACAUCUACAGAAGUCUCCACCCCAAAUCAACAGAACAUACCUUCUUCUGAGCACCUCAUUGCACUUAUUCUAAAAUUGGCAGCAUAAUUGGAAGUAAAACACUCCUAAGCAAAUGUGAAAGAAUGGAAAUCAUAACAGUCUCUCAGACCACAGUGCAAUCAAAUUAGAACUCAGGAUUAAGAAACUCACUCAAAACUAUACAACUACAUGGAAACUGAACAACCUGUUCCAGAAUGACUACUGGGUAACAAAAUUAAGGCAGAAAUAAAGAUGUUCUUUGAAACCAAUGAGAACAAAGACACAACAUACCAGAAUCUCUGGGACAAAUUUAAAGCAGUGUGUAGAGAGAAAUUUAUAGCACAAAAUGCCCACAAGAGAAAGCAGGAAAGAUCUAAAAUUGACACCCUAACUUACAAUUAAAAGAACUAGAGAAGCAAGAGCAAACAAAUUCAAAAGCUAGCAGAAGGCAAGAAAUAAUUAGGAUCAGAGCAGAACUGAAGGAGAUACAGACAUGAAAACCCCUUCAAAAAAUUAAUGAAUCCAAGAGCUGGUUUUUUAAAAAGAUCAACAGAAUAGAUAGACUGCUAACCAGACUAAUAAAGAAGAAAGAAACAAGAAUCAAAUAGACACAAAAAAGGUAAAGGGGCUAUCACCACUGAUCCUACAGAAAUACAAACUACCAUCAGAGAAUACUAUAAACACCUCUACGCAAAUAAACUAGAAAAUCUAAAAGAAAUGAAUAAAUUCCUGGGCACAUACAACCUCCCAAGACUAAACCAGGAAGAAGUCAAAUCCCUGAAUAGACAAAUAAAAAGUUUCAAAAUUGAGGCAGUAAUUAAUAGCCUACUAACCAAAAAACAAAUCCAGGACCAGACAGAUUCACAGUUGAAUUCUACCAGAGGUAGAAAGAGGAGCUGGUACCAUUGCUUCUG